rnacentral:rRNA from 1 species
AUGCAGUACGAGGUGUGCUAUGUGGCCAUCUCGACAUACUACCACGACGUUCUUGGUGUGAAGAUGACCAAGGAAGAAGCGCGGAGGAUGUGCAUUACCUUGGAGAGGCCCGAGUACUUGGCGGUGUGUCCAAAUUGGUGUUAUGGAAUAGACGAGUCCUGGGCAGCAUUGGUGGAUCUUUGGUGUGAUGAGGCUGGAGCCUGGGCGGCUAUGAGAAUCAAAAAUAAGGCUAACCGAGGGAAGGAGGGCGUACAUGCUCAGGGAAACCGAAACCACUAUCUCCACAAGGCAGUUAAU